UACCUACGGGACGCAGCAGUAGGGAAUUUUCGCCAAUGGGCGCAAGCCUGAACGAGCAAUUCCGCGUGAACGAGGAAGGUCUUCGGAUCGUAAAGUUCUGUUGAAGGGGAAGAAGAGCGGAGAGAGGAAAUGGUCUCCGAUUGAUAUUACCCUUCGAGGAAGUCACGGCUAACUACGUGCCAGCAGCCGCGGUAAUACGUAGGUUGCGAGCGUUAUCCGGAAUGAUUGGGCUGAAAGGGUGCGUAGGCGGCCUGCUAAGUCUGUAGUGAAAGUGAUCGGCUCAACCGGUACAGGCUCUGGAACAU
rnacentral:rRNA from 1 species